UACGAAGGGGGCUAGCGUUGCUCGGAAUCACUGGGCGUAAAGCGCACGUAGGCGGCUUUCUAAGUCAGGGGUGAAAUCCUGGAGCUCAACUCCAGAACUGCCUUUGAUACUGGGGAGCUCGAGUCCGGAAGAGGUGAGUGGAACUCCGAGUGUAGAGGUGAAAUUCGUAGAUAUUCGGAAGAACACCAGUGGCGAAGGCGGCUCACUGGUCCGGUACUGACGCUGAGGUGCGAAAGCGUGGGGAGCGAACAGG
rnacentral:rRNA from 1 species